GCCGCGCCCGCUGCCACCCACAGCCCUCCGGCGAGCUCUCAGAUGGGAGGAACAGGAAGCUCAGCUGGUUCCGUCCCUGCCCUGCAAGAAGAUGACUUUUCUGCCAGAUGGGAGCGGAUGCCCACCUCCGCCACGCCAGCUUCUGUCUUCCUCCCGGUGACGGCACCGCAGCUCCCCUGACACCGCGUACAUUCCUGAAGCGCUCAGCACCUACUACAUAACAGUCAAGGAAGGAAGGAAGGAAGGAGGGAGUGAAUGGGU